GGAUGGCUUCAAACCACAACAGCUCAUGAGCAUCAGCACUGCCCCGGCUCCCGCCUGCCAACACGAAGGUUACGAAGAACAGCAAGAAAGAUCAAAAAAAAAAAAAUCUCCCUGCAGAAGAGGGCAUGGUGCAUGUAUCUGCAAGUUGCAGCAGCCCAGAGAACAAAAAGGCUGCUGUUUGGAAAUUAAGGCAGAAGUAUAACGAGCUUAAAGGAACAGCGCAAGGAAAACUGAGAGUCCCAGCACUGCCCGGACCAAGAACAGCCCCGUCCCCGUGUCAUUGUCCUGGAGCCCAGGGGGUGCAGAUGUUACAGAAACCCAAAGCAGAGAGCUCGUUGUGCCUCGAGAGCACUCACUUGUGUCCUGGAUGACUUCAUAACUACAGGAAACAGAGCAGGAAAAGUGAGGUGACCAGUGCUCGGCCUUUUUUCCUGCUGGCCGCACGGACACCUGAGCGUGCAAGGAACAAAGAUGAUGCUGGCCCUGUAAGGAGGGCCAGGCUGCCUUGUUCUGAGAUCUGUUUUCUUUGCAAGCAUGGAUACUAUUUUAAAAACAAACAUUGCCCUGGAAUUAAAAUUUGAAAAACUUUCUGCUUUGAAAACAUCAGAGUAUUUGGUGGGUUGGGUUUUAAUGUCAUGUUUUCGUAAUGUAAAAACCAUUCAAGUCCAAAUGCAAGCUCCUAAAUAGCUGUUUUGCUGUAGCCUAAUUGUCAGUGGAAACUGGAAUUCAACUUAAGUCACAGUGCAGGGAAAUGAAACAGCAUGGGCAGAGUGAAAGGCUGCCUGUCUGCCUGAACUAGAGCAUUGCACUCAUAUUUGAAGGAAGCGGGUAAACUUCUGGUGAAAAUGUCACCAGCAUUUCUGCCAAACAUUGCGACUUCAGCAAAUCUGCGUUCUCUGUUGGUGAUAUGUCCCAUCAGAGGAGGAGCAGCCGCCUCCUGCUCCAGCAGCGAGCCAAAGGGGAUUCCCAGGGGCUGAGGAGCGGAGGAUGCUCUCCUGCAGGCGCUGCUGUGUGCCAGGAGCCGAGAAGAGGGCUGAUCUCCUCUGUCCUGCACACAUUGCCUAGGAGUGGGGGGAGACCUUGGUCUGUCAUCUGUCCCUUUGAACAGUCCCAGAGCGGACACAGGUUCAUUCAUCUUCUCUAAAAAAAAGUGAGGAUCAGUAAAACUGGUGCAUUCAUUUGCUGCUUGCAUGCCUGGCGCAUGCAGGAGAUCUGUUAAGCUACUUAAAACAUAUUUUAUUUUGCUCUGUUAAGAAGUUUGACAUUGGAAAAGGAUAUGUUGUUCUAUUCAUCAUUUCAAUGAUGGUUUUGGGAAGGGAAUAAGAAGGCACUGAACAUCCCUUGCUCUGUGCAAGGCAAUUUUUUGUCUCUUUUUUUUUUUUUUUUUUGGUAUUUGCUGGGAAAUUAGGAUGUGGGAACCUAAACCUGUGGUUUUGUUCAAACCCAAAGUGAAGGGAAACAUCAUGAGAACUUCAGAUUGGCUUGGGCUUUGCUUUUUUGUUUGUUUGUUUUGUCUGCAUGCAUAUAAUGCCAUAAUCUUUGAAGCCCUUUUCCCCUAACUCUUUGUGUCUGUGGUCUGGAUGAGCCCCUAAAAGCUGGUGAGCUGGGCUGCAGCUCGCCUUCAGCUCAGCAGGUCCCCAGGCCAGUCCCCUGGAGGACAGGUAAGGCUGUGAGUUACACGCAAUUAUCCACCUCUGCUGCAUUUCCUGCUCACCCCAAAUCAGCCGAAAACACCCGGGGAGAUUUUUCUCCUGGGGUUCUUCUCCAAACACCCAUGAGCACAGACUGCUGCGGCGUGAACAUUUGGAGCAUAGCUGCUCAUCGCCGCCAGGACCAAGGGGUGCCCCGGUUUUUAGGGGGCACAGAGCAGGAGGUUUGGCAGCCGAGCGUAUUUGUUUUAAUACCGGCUGCCCCCGUGGCUGCUCACUCCCUCC